rnacentral:rRNA from 1 species
UACGUAGGGGGCAAGCGUUGUCCGGAAUCAUUGGGCGUAAAGAGCGUGUAGGCGGCCCGAUAAGUCCGCUGUGAAAGUCCAGGGCUCAACCCUGGAAUGCCGGUGGAUACUGUCGGGCUCGAAUCCGGAAGAGGUGAGUGGAAUUCCUGGUGUAGCGGUGAAAUGCGCAGAUAUCAGGAGGAACACCAAUGGCGAAGGCAGCUCACUGGGACGGUAUUGACGCUGAGGCACGAAAGCGUGGGGAGCAAACAGG